rnacentral:rRNA from 1 species
GCUUAGAGUUUGAUCCUGGCUCACGAUGAACGCUGGCGGCGUGCCUAACACAUGCCAGUCGAGGGAGAAGCUACCUUCGGGUAGUGGAAACCGGCGCGCGGGUGAGUAACACUUAUCUAUCUGCCCCUCAGAGGGGGAUAACAGUUGGAAACAGCUGCUAAUACCCCAUAUCCUCGCAAGAGGAAAGCUCCGGCGCUUUGGGAUGAGGCUGCGGACCAUCAGCUAAAUGGUGGGGUAAUGGCCCAACAUGGAAACGACUGUUAAGGGACCUGACAGGGUGACCCCCCACACUGGGACUGACACACGGCCCAAACUCCUACGGGAGGCAGCACUGAGGAAUAUUGCACAAUGGGCGCAAGCCUGAUGCAGCGACGCCUCGUGGGUGAAGAACGUUUUCGGAUCGUAAAGCCCUUUUCUGCGUGACGAGAGUGGACGGUAGCGCACGAAUAAGUCUCGGCUAACUACUUGCCAGCAGCCGCGGUAAAACGUACGAGGCAAGCGUUAUCCUGAGUUACUGGGCGUAAAGCGCGUGCUCGUGGGUUAUUAAAUCACUUAUGAGAGCUCCCGGGUAAACUGGGAUAGGCUGAGUGAAACUGGUAGCUCUACAGUAUAGGAGAGGUACACGGAAUUCCGCGUGUAGUGGUGAAAUGCGUACAGAUGCGGAAGAACACCAGUGGCGAACGCGGUCUACUGGCCUCUAACUGACACUCAUACGCGAAAGCAUGUGUAGCGAACGGGAUUAUAAACC